CCUACGGGUGGCAGCAGUGAGGAAUAUUGGUCAAUGGUCGAGAGUCUGAACCAGCCAAGUAGCGUGAGGGAGGACGGUCCUGUGUGUCGUAAACCUCUUUUAUAUGGGAACAAAAUCUUCGACGUGUCCCAUGCUGUGUGUACCUGAUGAAUAAGCAUCGGCUAACUCCGUGCCAGCAGCCGCGGUAAUACGGAGGAUGCGAGCGUUAUCCGGUUUUAUUGGGUUUAAAGGGUGCGUAGGUGGAUUGUUAAGUCAGUUGUGCAAGUCCGGGGCUCAACCCUCGAAUAGCAGUUGAAACUGGCAGUCGUGAGUAGGGGAGAGGUAGGCGGAAUGCGCGGUGUAGCGGUGAAAUGCAUAGAUAUCACGAAGAACUCCGAUUGCGAAGGCAGCUUGCUGGCUCCACACUGACGCUGAGGCACGAAAGUGUGGGUAUCGAACAGGAUUAGAUACCCUGGUAGUG
rnacentral:rRNA from 1 species